GACGAACGCUGGCGGCGUGCUUAACACAUGCAAGUCGAACGGAAAGGCCCUGCUUUUGUGGGGUGCUCGAGUGGCGAACGGGUGAGUAACACGUGAGUAACCUGCCCUUGACUUUGGGAUAACUUCAGGAAACUGGGGCUAAUACCGGAUAGGAGCUCCUGCUGCAUGGUGGGGGUUGGAAAGUUUCGGCGGUUGGGGAUGGACUCGCGGCUUAUCAGCUUGUUGGUGGGGUAGUGGCUUACCAAGGCUUUGACGGGUAGCCGGCCUGAGAGGGUGACCGGGCACAUUGGGACUGAGAGACGGCCCAGAGUCCUACGGGAGGCAGCAGUGGGGAAUAUUGCACAAUGGGCGGAAGACUGAUGCAGCAACGCCGCGUGCGGAAUGACGGCCUUCGGGUUGUAAACCGCUUUCGCCUGUGACGAAGCGUGAGUGACGGUAAUGGGUAAAGAAGCACCGGCUAACUACGUG
rnacentral:rRNA from 1 species